rnacentral:lncRNA from 10 species
CAGCACUUCUCCUUCCUGCCACCAUAUGAAGAAGGACAUGUUUGCUACCCUUUCCACCAUGACUGUAAAUUUCCUGAGGCCUCCCCAAUCAUACUGAACGUUCUUUAAUUCCUACAACCUGGAUCUUAUGUUUCUGCUUCUCCACUCUUGUCUUACUGGGGUUCCUGUCCUACACCAUGAGAGACGCCAUAUAUGCUGUCAUGGAGUCCUUGUUGCUCGUGGAGUCCUUGUUGCUACUGUCAAGUUGCUGAACCUACUACGUUCCCAGCAUAAUAAUCACCUUAUAUACAUCUCAGGAACCUACUACGUUCCCAGCAUAAUAAUCAGUGCUGAAGAAUUUACAAUCCCCAAUUAAUUCACCAUCAAGUGAGAGAAGCAGGAAAGGAAACCAACGGUUGAGAAACCAAAUGCCAAAUGCUAUGACUGAGACGGACACAGGGAGCUCCAGGGACUGAGUAAAAUGCGAGAGUGGUCUGAGGAGAGUGGGCUGCAGCAAAAGUCUCAGCAGUGCAGUGGCUGGCACUGGAGCUGGUAGCUGAAGAUGCUGCUCCCCAGGCAAAGGAAAGAGAAUAUUUCACACAGAAAAGGGAAAGAGAAUAUUCCAGGCAGAAAAAGGAAAGAGAACAUUCCAUGCAGAAAAAGGAGCAUAAGCAAAAUUCUAAAGGUGCAAAAGAAAAAUGCCAAGGACCAGCAAAUCAAAGUGCCUUACCGUGUCUUUGUCCAAGGACAUCUGAUUUAAGUAUAAAAAUGCAAAAGGAAAAUCCCUAAAUUGGCAAAGUCUGCCUAAAGGAUUGGCCAACAUUGGAUGCUAAUGACUUGCACUCAAUCACAGCUUCAGGCAGAUGAGUAAGUGAUUUUUCUAAUGCAAAAAUGAUACAUUAUUAUUGCCUGCUAACUCUGACUGACUGGUGUUGGUUGGCUUAGAAAAUUGUUUUGAGGAGGACUUGAAAGUUGUGACUCAGCUCCUUAUGAAAGCCACACUUGAUUAGUGAUGUCUGCCAUGAACAUGGGAAAGGGUGUAUAUUUACCUGUGCUUCAUAUUUGCCAUUCCUGUUGUAAAAGACCCGAAAG